CCUACGGGAGGCAGCAGUGGGGAAUAUUGCACAAUGGGCGAAAGCCUGAUGCAGCGACGCCGCGUGAGGGAUGACGGCCUUCGGGUUGUAAACCUCUUUCAGCAGGGAAGAAGCGAAAGUGACGGUACCUGCAGAAGAAGCGCCGGCUAACUACGUGCCAGCAGCCGCGGUAAUACGUAGGGCGCAAGCGUUGUCCGGAAUUAUUGGGCGUAAAGAGCUCGUAGGCGGCUUGUCACGUCGGUUGUGGAAGCCCGGGGCUUAACCCCGGGUCUGCAGUCGAUACGGGCAGGCUAGAGUGUGGUAGGGGAGAUCGGAAUUCCUGGUGUAGCGGUGAAAUGCGCAGAUAUCAGGAGGAACACCGGUGGCGAAGGCGGAUCUCUGGGCCAUUACUGACGCUGAGGAGCGAAAGCGUGGGGAGCGAACAGGAUUAGAUACCCUGGUAGUCCACGCCGUAAACGGUGGGAACUAGGUGUUGGCGACAUUCCACGUCGUCGGUGCCGCAGCUAACGCAUUAAGUUCCCGCCUGGGGAGUACGGCCGCAAGGCUAAAACUCAAAGGAAUUGACGGNUUGAGAGUUGCGAGCGACACGAGGGAGAG
rnacentral:rRNA from 1 species